UUAUUUGAAACAGGAUACAACCUCACACACAGGGUAAGUAUGGACGAUUAAAACAAAGUGGGCCUAAAAGCAGCCACCUUUAAGAAAGCGUUACAGCUCCACCCAUCAACCCACAAUUAUACUAACCCCAUCAAACCCUUCACCCUUACUGAACAAUUUUAUACUACUAUAAAAAACAUUAUGCUAGAACUAGUAACAAGAACCUGCCUUUCUCCUAAAUAUAAGAAUAAACCAAAACGGACACCCCAUUGGUAAUUAACGUUAAUGAACUCCCUAUAACAACUCAAACCAGAAAACCUUAUAUCUCCUAACGUUAACCUUACACCAGAAUAUUAAAGGAAAGAUUUAAAGAAAGAGAAGGAACUCGGCAAACUUUAACCCCGCCUGUUUACCAAAAACAUCGCCUCUUGACAUACAUAAGAGGUCCAGCCUGCCCAGUGACAAAAUUUAACGGCCGCGGUACCCUGACCGUGCAAAGGUAGCAUAAUCACUUGUUCUUUAAAUAGGGACUUGUAUCAACGGCACCACGAGGGUUAUACUGUCUCCUCUUUCUAAUCAGUGAAACUGAUCCCCCCGUGAAGAAGCUGGGAUCAACCU
rnacentral:rRNA from 1 species